GAGGCAGAGACACAGACACAGACACAGACACAGACAGAAAGCCUGAGAGAAGGUGGACGGACCCAGCAGCCGCAGCCCAGCUCCUCCCGGACCGGGCACCCUGCCGACGGCCCUGACUUCCCGGGCCACCCCAGGCAAGUCGCCGCUUCCUUCCUCGGGUGGUUUCGGGACAGAGGGAGGGGAGUGAGGCCACGACACUUGGCAGGGAGACCUUUCCCAAUCCUGCCCCCCCGGGCCACCUCCUCCCCUGGCGUCAUUUGGGCAUCCCGGCAUUUGGGAGGAGUGAAAGGCGCCUGGUCCUCAUUCUGUCCGAGAUUUUUUCUCCCUCCUCCCUUCCGUUCCCCUUUCCCCCUGUAGAAACCUGUGUGGGAAUUUCCACUGCUCCCCUCCCCAGAUAACGCGCGUGUCUCACAGAGGUGACCCACGCAGGCACCGAUCUCAGGUCCCAGGACCAGCUGCAGCCGCAGGGCGCCGGGCUGGGGACGUGCAAGCAUUCCAACGUUCUUCUCUUUCACCUGCUUUGUUUGUUAUUUGAUCACCUAAUGAAAAGAUCGAUGGCAGCUUGUUUAUCUGGGUGAUAGUGUCAACAGAUUACAGGGGCAGUAAUCAGAUGUUUCCCAGCCAGGCUGGGCACAAUUGUAAUACAGAGGGAGCCUAAACAUGCUCAGACUGCGCUGGUCUGGGCAGCGGGGGUAGUGCGAUGGGGAGAAAUUUUUUCCCUUCGUCUGGCUGGAAACGCUUGGUGGUUUUCAUUCCCUCUGUGCUGAGGGAAAGCAAUUUCUAAACGUGGUUUGUAGAAAUAACCGAUGGGUGAAGGGCCGGUGAAAUUUGCAGGAGUCCCGAGUUAAAACCUAUCUCCGACGUCCUGUGGCUGUGCAGUAGCCUGUUGGGGAGGGGAGACGAGACUCUGGGUACCCAUCAAUAAAAGUUUCAUGCCCGUGUUGACCAGGUUAAAGCACAGUUCAGGCGACGAGAGGCAUUUCCUCUCCUUGACAAAUUACAGGGAUACUUUAAAACGGUCACAACUCACAUUUAAUUGGGAAAUGAACUUUGAUUCCGUUUUUAACCUCCGUGGAUCUGGAAUGUGUAAAGGAGGUGGAGCUGGGAACUUGGAGACUUAAUUUUCCCUCUGUCAUACUAAAUGCUACUUUCCCCAGGCAAGGGUCCAAGGCUGGGAUCUGAAGGUGGGAGAGUUUUGGGAGCUUUAGGGUGUGGUUUUGGCUGUUUUUAUUUGUUUGUUUUUUUCCUCUCCGCUCUGUAUCUCUCUUCUCCACCCCCGUCUCCUCCUUCGUGUAACACAACCCGGAAUGGCAAUGGCUCCUCUCUCGUCCCCUGCAGAAAGAAAAAGUUCCUCUGGAGAUUAGUGGUGACAACUUUUACAGGCUGUUUCUGUCAGGGAGGGAGGCGGGUUGAGGGGUUAUAGUAUAAUAUAAAACCCAGUUGAUCGUAUUAUUAUUUUGAGCUCGGAUACAUAGCCUGUGUUUUCCUAAACAAAUAAGUACCUUCUUCAGCUGCCAAGCUCCACAAGGAACUAUAUAUAUAUAUAUAUAUAUAUAUAUAUAUAUAUAUAUAUAUACACACACACACACAGACACACACAUUUAAAAAGGUACUCACACACACGGGGACAUACAUACCUAUAUACACAUAUAAAUGCACACACCUAUGGAGUGGCGUGGAUGGAAGACAGUAUGUGCACACUUACACAGGGUGCAGUGAACAGCUUUGACCUACAAAAAAGAAUUCAUUCUUGCAUUCAAUUUUUUGUGCAUUUGGUUGUCCUCAGUUCUGACCUGUGGACACCUACAAACUGUAAAACCAGAGUGUUGUACUGGGGUUUCCCCCAGCACCACCGUCCUCUCUCGGUUGGGGUUCUUCGGGUGGCCUCUCUCCUGGGCCGGGCCUAUUGCAAAGCGGAUGUGAAUGGUCACACCCGGACUCCCCAGUCGUCACUGUGCAUCCCAGCCCCGCUGCUCCCCAGGCACCCCCCGAGCCAGGCUGGGGGUGGUAGUGCUGUUCCAGGCCUCCACAACUGGUGAUGCCUAGCCAGGCCUCAUUUCCCAUCAGCAAUGCCGGGGCUUUUCCUCACAGCAUUUGCCUCUCCAUUUGUGUUUUUUCUCUCUUUCUUUUUUCCUUCCUUUUUCCUGCCUUCACCCAAGCCAGACCUGAAGGAUAACUAAGUUUUUGAGGAACGCAACAUAUGGUGUGUGCGCGGGAGGUGGUGCUUCUGGAGGAGCCGUGCGGUCACCCCCUGUCCUGGGCAGGUGGUCUCCGGAGCAGCUCAAGUCCUGGGCAGAAUUUAUGACUUAAGAGACUUACUUCAAACUCCUUGGAGUACCUCCCUGCUAAAUACCUGCUUAAGUCUGGAGGUUCAAAUGAAGUUCUCCCCCCGCCAUCGUUUGUCACCUCCCUCCUUCUCUCUCUAGCAGAAUUGCCCAUCUCCUUCCUCCCCACUGCCCUCACUGCUGUCUUGGUUGCACCGGUCAGGAAAAUACAGUUUUAUCUCCUCGGCUCAGCAGAGUGGACAGGUGUUUGUACACGGCUGAACCCUCCAGCACUACUGAAAGAGUUGCUGUCCUGCAUGCAAAAGGAGAAAAAACCUUAACAAAACCCCCUCAACCUCCGUCCCUACCGCCCCCGCCCCCCAAGCCCCAAGAAGCCCCAGAGAUGCUUUUCUCCUGAAAAAGUUAAGCGUGACUUAGUAAACAUUUGUAAAUGCAAAUAGAACUGAAUAAAUAAACAUCAAACCAGGUAGUUUGGGUGUAAUAGUUUAGCAGGACUAAUUGCAGACAAUGAAACUGAAAUGACUUCUCCAAUUACCUGCCGGUUGGAGCUUAUUUGGAGGAACUGUCAGCUCUAGCGACGGAUAAUAGCUUUAUUGCUCACAAAACUAUCAUCUAUUUAGAACAUAUGUGCUAAUUACUCUGGAUGGGCGUCGGAAAAGAGACCAUAAAUCUAUUAGCUCUUUAAAAAGUCUAAGAUACUCCCUUUAGCCCUUUAAAAAGUCUAAGAACAACCAAACUCUCUUCCUUUGGACCUUAAGGGCAAGAUUUUCGCCUGGAUGGUACUCUUUCCAUAAAAUAGAAAUAAAAUAAAAUAAAAUAAAAUAAAAUAAAAUAAAAUAAAAUAAAAUAAAAUAAAAUAAAAUAAAAUAAAAUAAAAUAAAAUAAAAUAAAAUAAAAUAAAAUAAAAUAAAAUAAAAUAAAAUAAAAUAAAAUAAAAUAAAAUAAAAUAAAAUAAAUUCAGUCAUAUAUACAUGUAUAUUUGCGACUUCACAGUGGGAGGGAAAAUAAAGGAUAGCAUCUUUCUGUAGACCAAACUGGUGCAAUAAAUCACUGUCAUAAAACCGAUUUUCCUCUUUAGCCUUGCACUAUUUUUUCCCCCAAAAAGAUUAGUUUAAAAAUCAUUUAAUUGGAUUACUCUGGAAAAUUAAUCUCCUUUGGGCUCGCUAAGUUUGUGUACCAAAUAUCCCGAAUUAAUUCAGUGCCACAAAACGCAUCUGCGACGCCUUUUGUUCAAAGUAGCUAAAAAAGGGACAGGUAGGGAAGGUAGCAUUUCGCCGUACGCAUUCACGUCCCCUCGCAGUUCUCUAUGCAUAUUCAUUGCUGUAUGUGUCGCAUUGUACCGCAUAGAAUUGCUAUUGUAAAGGACAUAAACAGAAUUGUUUGCUGGACUGUGCUGUGGGUCAAGACACCAGUGAGGGGUGAGGAAUUCAGGGGAAAAAGCAGAGAAAGGAAAAAGCUUUGGCAGCCCAAGCAGGCGUCGCGCACCGAGGGUCAUACCCAGGUCGAAGCGGCUUUCCGUCGCCAUCCGCCCCUGGCCGCUUCGCGGGCGCGCACUCCCUCCGCGCCGCUUCGAACCACUCCGCCCUCCCGCCUCUGCUCCUCUCCGCUUCUCUAGCUGGCCCCGGACCUGCGACACUUUCGGAGCCGUCUGAGUGGAACUCCCCAUCCCGGGCACCCGCUGGGAAUCAAUAGGAUCCCUCAAUUUUCAGUCCUAUUUGAGUGUGAGCAGCACCCUCGCGAGGUGCCAUUAAUUGCGGGGGCGGUGGGGGGUUAGAGGCUUAAUGACUUGUCAGGGGGGUGGUGGUGACUCUGUAACGCAAUGUCUUCUUUCCCCCCGCCUUUUACAAGUACGGGCUGUGUCGCUGCUAACAGAGCAAUAAAAUUGGCUUCAUCUA
ensembl:lncRNA